GCGGUGCGCCGCUAAUGAUGGCGGCCUGGGCGCGGUCUCACCACCGUGGGCUCUGACCGAGGGGCGCGGGACGGCGCCCCUCCCAACACGCAGACCGCCUGUGGCACGAGGGAACUCGCGAAGGCACCGCGGCAAGACCACAGCACGAAGUCUCUUGUAAUCUGUUUAAGCAUGUUGGAAGAUUGUAUUUUCCUUCUCCUUGAAGUUAGACACAGUUGCAUGGCUGUUGAGCCAAUAAAAAGGGAGCAGAAGUGAAAUAAGACACUUCCAAGUGGAAAACUACAACGCUGGUGCUCUUCUCUCCAGCCCUUCCUUCCCCUACUUUGAGGAGCGCAAUCACAGGAGCUCAUAUCCACAUGGAGGUGGUGUAAGCAUGGAGAAGCCUGGAAGACUGAGCAAGCAUCCGGAGGGACACCGCAUGGAAAAUUGCCUGGAGCCCUGCAGAUUUAAAGAUGGCCACGUUUGUCAAAUCGUGAUAGAAGACCUUGAUGAAACCACAUUAGUAAAAGAGAGAGAGAAGAAAAAGAAGAAAAAUGAGCAUCCACCUUCACCCCCUCCAUCCCCUCCA